CCUACGGGGUGCAGCAGUGAGGAAUCUUGGUCAAUGGGCGCGAGCCUGAACCAGCCAAGUAGCGUGAAGGAUGACUGCCCUACGGGUUGUAAACUUCUUUUAUAAAGGAAUAAAGUGAGGCACGUGUGCCUUUUUGUAUGUACUUUAUGAAUAAGGAUAGGCUAACUCCGUGCCAGCAGACGCGGUAAUACGGAGGAUCCGAGCGUUAUCCGGAUUUAUUGGGUUUAAAGUGAGCGUAGAUGGGUUGUUAAGUCAGUUGUGAAAGUUUGCGGCUCAACCGUAAAAUUGCAAUUGAUACUGGCAGCCUUGAGUACAGUUGAGGUAGGCGGAAUUCGUGGUGUAGCGGUGAAAUGCUUAGAUAUCACGAAGAACUCCGAUGGCGAAGGCAGCUUACUAAACUGUAACUGACAUUGAUGCUCGAAAGUGUGGGUAGCAAACAGGAUUAGAUACCCCUGUAGUC
rnacentral:rRNA from 1 species